AAUAAAGUGGCUGAAAUUAUAGGCUGUAAAUUGUAAAUUUAUUUAUGAUCAAUUGUUGAUCCUUUAUUA
rnacentral:tRNA from 1 species